rnacentral:rRNA from 1 species
GGAUGCGAUCAUACCAGCCCUAAAGCACCGGAUCCCAUCAGAACUCCGAAGUUAAGCGUGCUUGGGCGAGAGUAGUACUAGGAUGGGUGACCUCCUGGGAAGUCCUCGUGUUGCAUUCCC